rnacentral:rRNA from 1 species
AGUGAACGCUGGCGGUAGGCCUAACACAUGCAAGUCGAACGGCAGCACAGUAAGAUCUUGCUCUUACGGGUGGCGAGUGGCGGACGGGUGAGGAAUACAUCGGAAUCUACUUUUUCGUGGGGGAUAACGUAGGAAAACUUACGCUAAUACCGCAUACGACCUACGGGUGAAAGCAGGGGAUCUUCGGACCUUUCGCGAUUGAAUGAGCCGGUUUCGGAUUAGGUAGUUGGCGGGGUAAAGGCCCACCAAGGCCACGAUGCGUAGCUGGUCUGAGCGGAUGAUCGGCCAAAACGGAACUGGAAAACGGUCCAGACCCCUACGGGAGGCAGCAGGAGGGAAUUUUCGGCAAAGGGCGGAAGCCUGACGGAGGAACUCCGCGGGGGGGAAGAAGGGCUUCGGGUUGGAAAACUCUUUUAUUUGGGAAGAAAAAGUGGGUGAUUAACUCUCCACGGUUUGACGGUACCCAAACAGAAAGCAACGGCUAACUUCGUG